rnacentral:rRNA from 1 species
GUGAGAAUGCUGGCAUGAGUAACGAGACCAGGGCGAGAAACCCUGGCGCCGUGAGCCUAAGGGUUCCUGGGCGAGGCUAAUCCCCCCAGGGUCAGUCGGGAGCUAAGGCGAGGCCGAGAGGCGUAGCCGAUGCGCAGCGGGCAGACAUUCCCGCACCGCCGACGGCGCGGCAUUACCGAUGGGGCGACGGAGAAGGGUAGCCGGGCGGGGUUCUGGACGUCCCCGUGAAAGCGCGUAGGGCGCGCAGCGUGGAAAUCAGCUGCGCGAGAGGCCUGAGACGCGAGACGAAGCGACUGAGCGAAGCCGGUGAGCCCAUGCUUCCGAGAAAAACCUCUAGGGAGUGCCGUCGGCGCCCGUACCAAAACCGACACAGGUGGGCGGGUAGAACAUACCGAGGCGAUCGGGAGAACCACGGUUAAGGAACUCGGCAUACUGGCCCCGUAACUUCGGGAGAAGGGGCGCCGCCGGCUGUGAACGCCCUCGCGGCGGGAGCGGCUGGCGGCCGCAGCGAAACGGCCCAAGCGACUGUUUAUCAAAAACACAGGACUCUGCAAAGCGGUAACGCGACGUAUAGGGUCUGACGCCUGCCCGGUGCCGGAAGGUUACGCGGAUGCGUCAGCCGAAAGGCGAAGCGCUGAAGCCAAGCCCCGGUAAACGGCGGCCGUAACUAUAACGGUCCUAAGGUAGCGAAAUUCCUUGUCGGGUAAGUUCCGACCUGCACGAAUGGCGUAACGAUUUGGGCGCUGUCUCAACCGUGGACCCGGUGAAAUUGUACUGUUCGUGAAGAUGCGAACUACCCGCGGAAGGACGGAAAGACCCCGUGAACCUUUACUGCAGCUUGGCAUUGGCAUCUGGUACGGCGCGUAGAGGAUAGGCGGGAGCCUUUGAAGCGGGGGCGCAAGCCCCCGUGGAGGCGACCUUGGAAUACCGCCCUCGUCGUGCCGGCUGCCUAACGCGCGGCCGUGAUCCGGCGCGCGGACCGUGCCAGGCGGGUAGUUUGACUGGGGCGGUCGCCUCCCAAAACGUAACGGAGGCGCGCGAAAGGUCCGCUCAGGACGGUCGGCAACCGUCCCGAGAGCGCAAGAGUGCAAGCGGGCUUGACUGCGAGAGAGACACCUCGAGCAGGGACGAAAGUCGGUUCUAGUGAUCCGGCGGCACAGAGUGGAAUGGCCGUCGCUCAAC